rnacentral:rRNA from 1 species
UACAGAGGGUGCAAGCGUUGUUCGGAAUUAUUGGGCGUAAAGAGCUCGUAGGCGGUCUGUUGCGUCCGCUGUGAAAACUCGGGGCUUAACCCCGAGCCUGCAUUGGAUACUGGCAGGCUAGAGUGCGGUAGAGGGUGGCGGAAUUCCCGGUGUAGCAGUGAAAUGCGUAGAGAUCGGGAGGAACAUCUGUGGCGAAGGCGGCCAUCUGGACCAGCACUGACACUGAGGCACGAAAGCGUGGGGAGCAAACAGG